AACAAAUUAAGAUCCUCCCUGCCUGCCAACCCUUUUGCUGUGAGAACUCGUGGUUGCAGCCGCACUCUUGGCCUGAUCAUUUGAGGAUUUGUGUUGGCUGUGAACCCUUUGAAUUUGGGACUGCCGAGAGGUCAUCACUGAGCAUUGCUUUCAACCCAGUUGUCCAGAAUAGGCGAGCUCAUCACCAGGCAGCCAUGCCGGGAUGCUACAGGUCUUGGAGAUCCAUUCGCACAAAGCUUGAUACAUGCACUAGUACUAUUAUUUCAACCUGUAUGAUUAUACUCACCAAAAUGCAGUGUCUAUACAAGUAUUCCGAGAAGAAACGUCACUCUAUACAAAAAAUCACCCCCCAUCUCCCUCAAACACUUCGUAGAACUCCAAUCAAAGUUCCUCAGCAAGACCUGCUCGAACAAAUCAAGAUCCUCCCUGCCUGCCAACCCUUUUGCUGUGAGAGCUCGUGGUUGCAGCCGUGCUCUUGGCCUGAUCAUUUGAGGAUUUGUGUUGGCUGUGAACCCUUUGAAUUUGGGACUGCCAAGAGGUCAUCGCUGAGCAUUGCUUUCAACCCAGUUGUCCAGAAUAGGCGAGCUCAUCGCCAGGCAGGCGUGCCUCGCACAAAGCUUGAUACACGCACUAGUACUAUUGUUUCAACCUGUAUGAUUAUACUCACC
rnacentral:lncRNA from 1 species